UUCACAGUGCACUCUGCAAUCUGCACACAUGCAUAACUGCUGGUGAGCUGAUUUACCUAUUGCAGUCGGGGAUGCGUGGAGACGGAAGGUAUGGUAGAUAUUACAGGGAAGGUCGUCCCUUUGGCCAGAGAGAUUGGAGAGGAUAUUCUUGGGAAGCCAACCACCAUCAUAGUGGUCCAGCAAAUGAAGUUGGCAGGCCUCAUAGUGUUAAUGACCAAAGGUCAGUUGGUGAUUCAGCUGUGCCUGCAUCUCAUCCAAAUUCAGAUCUUCGUGAUCAGUUUCGCACAUAAGAUCAGAUUGGAAGCCACAUAGCUCUAAGGAGAAAGUAGCUGAUGGUUAUGUACAAAGAGCAAUCCCGUACUCUAAUGAGGAGUUAGAAGAAACUCGAGAACAAUGGGCAAAGUAUUUUAAGGACAAGUAUUUGAUGGAUGCCGCCGAAUGAGUUUGGGGUCGAUCUAGACGUAAUAUAUGUUGUAUGUUUUUGUUUUCUAGAAUAUAUUUAAUGGAUGUUAUGUAUGUGCAUUGAAAUGUAUUAUGAUGUUGGAUGCUAGAUAGUUGUAACAUAUAUGGAUGUUGGAGCAUAUAUGUAUGCUAUGUAUUAUAUACAGGUUUUUAUAUAAAUUCCCGUUUUGACCGGGAUUCACAAAA